CCUGUGAGGGCUUCACCCUGGACUAUGGAGCAGCUGUCCAAGGGUGAAUCCUCGCUGACC
ensembl:miRNA